rnacentral:rRNA from 1 species
CAGCUUGUUGGCGGGGUAACGGCCCACCAAGGCUACGAUGGGUAUCCGGCCUGAGAGGGUGUACGGACACAUUGGGACUGAGAUACGGCCCAGACUCCUACGGGAGGCAGCAGUAGGGAAUUUUGCGCAAUGGGGGAAACCCUGACGCAGCAACGCCAUGUGUGGGAUGAAGCAUUUCGGUGUGUAAACCACUGUCAGCGGGGAAUAAACGGCAGCUUCGGGCUGCUUUGAAUGUACCCGCAAAGGAAGCCCCGGCUAACUUCGUGCCAGCAGCCGCGGUAAUACGAGGGGGGCAAAUGUUGUUCGGAAUCACUGGGCGUAAAGGGAGCGUAGGCGGGUUCUUAAGUUAGGUGUUUAAUCCCGGGGCCCAACCCCGGACCGGCACUUAAAACUGGGAAUCUUGAAUAGUGGAGAGGUCAGUGGAAUUGGGGGUGUAGCGGUGGAAUGCGUAGAGAUCCCCAAGAACACCAGUUGCGAAGGCGGCUGACUGGACACAUAUUGACGCUGAGGCUCGAAAGCAUGGGGAGCAAACAGGAUUAGAUACCCUG